UAGAAUCAAAAAUCAAAUUCUCCUAAAGGUCUUAGGAAAAGUACAUCAAAAUGCUGGCAGGUACUUGGAAAAAUGGUGGUAAACAGUUGUCAUGGCAUUUCUUAGAUAGUUAGACUCUAUAAAUUUUGUGUGUGCAUGUAUGUGUAUUUGUGUGCAUGUCUCAACACAUAUAAUAAAUUUUUGUGUGGUGUACUGGUGGCAUUAUAGACAUGCUUCUUCAAGGGCUGGAAAUAGCUGCAUAGGUUGAGAACUGACAAUUGUGAGUUACUUCCCUUGAUUAAUUAUAUCUACCAAAUGGCAUUCAAAGGUAUCAGGGA
rnacentral:lncRNA from 1 species